rnacentral:rRNA from 1 species
AGUGAACGCUGGCGGUAGGCCUAACACAUGCAAGUCGAACGGCAGCACAGAGGAGCUUGCUCCUUGGGUGGCGAGUGGCGGACGGGUGAGGAAUACAUCGGAAUCUACUCUGUCGUGGGGGAUGACGUAGGGAAACUUACGCUAAUACCGCAUACGACCUACGGGUGAAAGCAGGGGACCUUCGGGCCUUGUGCGAUUGAAUGAGCCGAUGUCGGAUUAGCUAGUUGGCGGGGUAAAGGCCCACCAAGGCGACGAUCCGUAGCUGGUCUGAGAGGAUGAUCAGCCACACUGGAACUGAGACACGGUCCAGACUCCUACGGGAGGCAGCAGAGGGGAAUAUUGGACAAUGGGCGCAAGCCUGAUCCAGCCAUACCGCGUGGGUGAAGAAGGCCUUCGGGUUGUAAAGCCCUUUUGUUGGGAAAGAAAUCCAUCUGGUUAAUACCCGGGUGGGAUGACGGUACCCAAAGAAUAAGCACCGGCUAACUUCGUGCCAGCCGCCGCCGUAA